rnacentral:tRNA from 1 species
AUGAUAAUUAGUUUAAGUCAAAACAAGUGAUUUCGACUCACUAGACUAUGAAUAAUAACAUAAUUAUCAA